rnacentral:rRNA from 1 species
GACGAACGCUGGCGGCGUGCCUAAUACAUGCAAGUUGAGCGAUGAAGCCUGGUGUUUGCUCCAAUUUGAAGAGCAGCGAACGGGUGAGUAACGCGUGGGGAAUCGGCCUUUCAGCGGGGGACAACAUUCGGAAACGAAUGCUAAUCCCGCAUAACAACUUUAUACAUGAGUUUUAAGUUUGAAAGAUGAAAUUGCAUCACCCAAAGAUCAUCCCGCGUUGUAUUAGCUAGUUGGUGAGGUAAAGGCUCACCAAGGCGAUGAUACAUAGCCGACCUGAGAGGGUGAUCGGCCACAUUGGGACUGGGACACGGCCCAAACUCCUGCGGGAGGCAGCAGUAGGGAAUCUUCGGCAGUGGGGGAAAGUCUGGCAGAACGAGGCCACGUGAGUGGAGGAGGUUUUCGGAUCGUAAGAAUCUGUUGGUAGAGAAGAACGUUGGUGAGAGUGGAAAGCUCAUCAAGUGACGGUAACUACCCAGAAAGGGACGGCUAACUACGUG